AUUGAACGCUGGCGGCAGGCUUAACACAUGCAAGUCGAGCGGGGUGAUGGUGCUUGCACUAUCACUUAGCGGCGGACGGGUGAGUAAUGCUUAGGAAUCUGCCUAUUAGUGGGGGACAACAUCUCGAAAGGGAUGCUAAUACCGCAUACGUCCUACGGGAGAAAGCAGGGGAUCACUUGUGACCUUGCGCUAAUAGAUGAGCCUAAGUCGGAUUAGCUAGUUGGUGGGGUAAAGGCCUACCAAGGCGACGAUCUGUAGCGGGUCUGAGAGGAGGAUCCGCCACACUGGGACUGAGACACGGCCCAGACUCCGACGGGAGGCAGCAGUGGGGAAUAUUGGACAUGGGGGGAACCCUGAUCCAGCCAUGCCGCGUGUGUGAAGAAGGCCUUAUGGUUGUAAAGCACUUUAAGCGAGGAGGAGGCUCUUUUGGUUAAUACCCAAGAUGAGUGGACGUUACUCGCAGAAUAAGCACCGGCUAACUCUGUGCCAGCAGCCGCCGUAA
rnacentral:rRNA from 1 species